GCAAAGCAAAAUACACUGUGACUCCCCCACCAACCUGGUCUAAGUAUACCUAUGCAGUGGCACCUUAUGACAUUCUGUGGGCUAUUUCGGUGCCAGUUUCUCUCAGAACAGUCAAGCAUCAACUCGGCUGGAUGAAAUUUCAUUUGGGAAGGUUGGUGGGCCAUUGGACACUUUAGUAGUUGUGGCUGGCCUGUGGUAAGCCUCUGCCAGACUUGAAGUUCCUCAUUGUCACCAAUAUAUACCCAGGUAGAACUGUGGUAGGAAUCUGCGUAAAUCCCACAAUCAUCGUCAUCAGAACACAGGCUGCUGGGACUGCACCUUAACUUCUCCAUACUUGCAUCAGUAGACCUGGUCUGCAACUCGUAGAUCAGGACUUCUUCUUCUCGCUCUGUGACUAGGUGAUAAUGAUUGUUCUAUUCGUCUAAAAAAUAAAAAUAGAUCUUUUAAGAUGCAAAUAAGAUGUAAAUAUAUUACCAUCAGUAAAACUGAAUAUUUGAAUCAAGAAUUACUUUGAAAGUGAAUAUUUCUACUUACUCAAUAUGACUUUACCAUGCUGAGACAGGGUUUAUGAACAGAUUAGUUGUGUUCUCAACUGUUCACUGUUAGUUAUUAAAUAGUUGCACUAUU